rnacentral:sRNA from 1 species
UGAUGAAAGCAUCAUCUCCCAACGGAGGC